UACGUAGGGGGCAAGCGUUGUCCGGAAUCAUUGGGCGUAAAGCGCGUGUAGGCGGCCCGGUAAGUCCGCUGUGAAAGUCGGGGGCUCAACCCUCGAAUGCCGGUGGAUACUGUCGGGCUAGAGUGCGGAAGAGGCGAGUGGAAUUCCUGGUGUAGCGGUGAAAUGCGCAGAUAUCAGGAGGAACACCAAUUGCGAAGGCAGCUCGCUGGGACGUAACUGACGCUGAGACGCGAAAGCGUGGGGAGCAAACAGG
rnacentral:rRNA from 1 species